AAAAAGACAAACUCUAGUUUUUCGUGUCCAACUUUGACUGUCCGUCUUAUAUGAAAUUUUUUUAUAAUUCGUAUUUUCAUUGUUGUUAGAUGAUAAAACAUGAUUAAUAUUUUAUGCGUGACUUGUCUUUUUAAUUUUUUUUCAUAUUUUUUUCAAAUAAGACGGACGGUGAAACGUUGGACACAGAAACCAGGGUUUGUCUUUUU
rfam:Oryza rufipogon genomic scaffold, chr12